GGCCCAACACACUCCACAGUGCACAGAGUGAUUUCCUUCCUUCCCUCCCACUUCUUCGUCUUCCUCUCCGUUAGCACCGAAUUUGGUAUUAUUACCGGUAUUUAGCGCUGGGAUUCGAGACCCGCCCCAUGUUUGAAGGAUCAACCCGAUGCAAGUCUCACCCAGCCCGUGUCGUGGUGGAUUCGGGCAAGGAGGGACAAUCCUUAACAGUCAACAAGUCGCAGAAACAGAACUAAAACGUGCAACGCCUUCUUGGAUGGGCAUGGAUGCCAUGUUUUAAACAGCAUCCCAGGUAUAUAAAAGGUAACACGCCGAUGAAUAUGAUCAGUUAUGAAGACUCUUUGGGGACAAGCCUAUUAAUAGCCCACGAAACAUGGCUGGCAGUAUUCCGCACAGCAACGAAAUAUCAAGGAAGGUGACUGAGGGUGCGGCAAGACCGCUGUGCCACCUUCAAAACACAAUCAUAAAAUACACUCCCUAACUUUGCCUGUCCCAAAUGCAAAAUCGAUAUAACCCACCCAUCCCCUUGUCUCCAUCCGCUAAACUGCAUCCAACAGGGAUUGGCUCCGAAAAUCUGUUUGCAAAUCACCCUUGUCAUGUCUCACUAUUGGGCCUCGUGGAGUCACAGCAACCGGAGAGGUCCAGAACACACUCCUGUGUGUAAUCUAUGUAAUCUCUGGGGAUGGAUAAUUACACGCGGAGGUUAGGCUAAUUACACCCAGCCAAGAGCUGCUAGUUUUUUAUCGACAUAGUGCAUACAAAAUAACCAUGUCAUGAAGAGAUAUCUGCCACUGGUAACGAACUAUCAUAUCAAUAAAUAUCAUAACUAUCAUAUCAGGCAAGAUAUUAUCUUGGAUAUCAUCAAUAUAUUUAUAUAUUGAUAGAUAUUAUAUUAUUGAUACUAGUGCUAAACAUAAUCGGU
rnacentral:sRNA from 1 species